rnacentral:rRNA from 1 species
AUUGAACGCUGGCGGCAGGCCUAACACAUGCAAGUCGAGCGAGCGGCGGACGGGUGAGGAAUGUCUGGGAAAAUGUCUGAUGGAGGGGGAUAACUACUGGAAACGGUAGCUAAUAACGCAUACCAUCAGAUGUGCCCAGAUGGGAUUCGCUAGUAGGUGGGGUAACGGCUCACCUAGGCGACUAUCCCUAGCUGGUGUGAGCGGAUGACAAGCCACACUGGAAAUGAGACACGGUCCAGACUCCUACGGGAGGCAGCAGUGGGGAAUAUUGCACAAUGGGCGCAAGCCUGAUGCAGCAAUGCCGCGUGUGUGAAGAAGGCCUUCGGGUUGUAAAGCACGUUCAGCGGGGAGGCGUUACCCGCAGAAGAAGCACCGGCUAACUCCGUGCCAGCAGCCGCGGUAAUAC